AUGACGGACUUCUGAAUCUUAAACUUGAAGUCUCAUUAUAGGAAUAGUGAGAGCCAUAUGGCCUAAAAAGCCUAAGGAAAAUGGAUAGAGAAGUACAUCUGGCCCUUUUGGCAUCUACCACCACAUUCUGGUUUGAGUCAUUGGAGAAAUGAAUCGGGAGGACUGAGUUCAGACCCUCCAUCUGCCUGACUAUUGUGCACUGCUCUGUCUGCGUAGGCACCCUCUUCCAGGCUCGGCCCUAAUCCCCAGUGUGGUGAUUUUUGGAGAGGAGGCCGUUGAGAGGCAAUUAGGUUUGGAUGAGAUCAAGAGGGUGGAGCCCCCAUGAUGGGAUGAGUGCGUUUAGAAGAGGAAGACACCAAACAUCUCUCCAGCCCUACCAUCUGAGAAUAUAGGAAGAAGGCAGCCAUAUGCAAACCAGGAAGAGAGUUCUCCCCAGACAUUGAACCUGCCAGCAUCUUGAUCUGUGAC